CACAUCUGGACAUUUUUGGCACCUACUGUUGACUGCGCAGGUCUGGAGAAUCACCAGGAAUAAAAUGAUGAAAGAGAUGCCAUUAAGAAGUUGCUGUCCGUAACAUGCGAUGAGUGCUCCUACAUCCAACACCAGUACCAAUGGAAGAGAGAGAGCUGCAGAUCUGCAAACAGGACAGAAAGAGCCCCAAAGGGAAAAGUCUGCUCAGCAAACUUUCUGAUGAGCCCUUGAAGCUACAGCCUCACAGUGUGUGCUGGAAAAGGUUAUGGAUCUAGCGAGUGCAAACGGAAGGCAGGAUGAAAAGGUCAGAUGUUCUGUUCUCUUCGUAAUGGAUUGACCGGGGACAUGUUUUUAUCUUUCGUGCAACCGC
ensembl:lncRNA